AUUGAACGCUGGCGGCAGGCCUAACACAUGCAAGUCGAACGAGUGGCGGACGGGUGAGUAAUGUCUGGGAACCUGCCUGAUGGAGGGGGAUAACUACUGGAAACGGUAGCUAAUACCGCAUACCAUCGGAUGUGCCCAGGUGGGAUUAGCUAGUAGGUGGGGUAACGGCUCACCUAGGCGACGAUCCCUAGCUGGUCUGAGAGGAUGACAAGCCACACUGGAACUGAGACACGGUCCAGACGACUGCGGGAGGCACCAGUGGGGAAUAUGGCACAAUGGGCGCAAGCCUGACGCAGCCAUGGCGCGUGUAUGAAGAAGGCCUUCGGUGUGUAAAGUAGUUUCAGCGGGGAGGCGUUACCCGCAGAAGAAGCACCGGCUAACUCCGUGCCAGCAGCCGCGGUAAUUC
rnacentral:rRNA from 1 species